CUGGAACUCCAAAGGACCAAAACAAUAAGUUUGAUUCCCAGGGUUCCUUAAACUACCCAGUAAUUUCCUACCAUUUAGUUAACACAAAAUGUAAACCAGUGAGGCUAUGCCCCCAUUUCAAAGCUGAUUCUGGAUGAUACUCAUGAACUGAGGAAUUAUCAUGGCCAGAGGAAAAAAUGACUAUUGCUUUGCGGCUCUGCAGAAUUCAAAAGUAUAAAAAAACAACAGCCAUACUAUCAACACUAGAUGGUGCUACAGAGGCUUCAUUCAUUUAACAAAAACAUUGCAUCCCAGAAAAAGCUUGAGAUAAUACUGUUAAUGGUUCAUACUUCUACAGCAUUUAGAAUAUGCCAGGCACCGUUCUAAACACUCAAGUACAUUAACUCAUUUCAUCCUUACAGGAACCCUCUGAGGGAGAUACUGUUAUGAUCUCUCCCAUUUUAUGGAUGAAGAUAUCGAGGCACCAGAAUACAGUGCUGGAAUGAAAUGGAGGUGGGACUAGAGUGCAGGCCACCUGCCUCCCCAGUCUGUGUUUUAUCUACUGUGCUCCCCAGCCCAUAAGAGCAAAGAGGACUGCUCGGACCAUUCUGAGGGGUUUUGGAGACCAUGAUUUCUCAAGGAAGUGCCUCCUCUAGAAGAAUCUGCAAUCCAUAUCCCUAAUCGUUUCAGCAGGUCUCAACUAAUCUCUACAUGACUUCAUACCUUAGAAGAAUCUUCUGAAGGCCUUAUUAUCAAACUACAAAACCCAAGUCAUGCUUUGGACACAACUUGUCUCUCAACCUCAAAUAAUAUUGCAACGGCAAGAUCAUAUAAGCCUCAGAAUGGCAAGGCAGCAACACUGGCAAAAUUACAGAUGUCGAAUAAAUGUUUGA